rnacentral:lncRNA from 1 species
AUUAACCGCUCAAAUUUACGAUCAUCAUUCAUUGAUUUCCUUCAUUCAUCCCUUUUAGCCCUAACGGGUAAAUCGAUUCUACUUUCUUGCUUCUGUAUAACCUCGAUGGACAAAGAUGUGAUGGCGGAUGCCACGAUGGUGGUCAUAGCUCCACUGCUAGUCGAUAGAGUUUCAACCACUGUGAUUCUCGAUUUGUUUUGCCCUACCUUCACCCUCCAUUGCACCAGUGCUACUCUAUCGUUCAUUUCACCACCACUUUGGAUUAUAGAAGUUACAGUUGGUUUUGAUAGCAGGGCUUGCAAUCCUAGAUACAUGUAAUGCUUGAGGUGCCAAUCUUGAAGACAAUUCAGAGUGAAACAAAAUGCUAAUCCAUAAACUCAGUUAUUGUUGAUUAGUGGGCCACAUGCUUUGGAAGCUAAAGUUUUCGAGUUUGGUUAUGAAACUGAUGGGAGGAAACUUAAUGAUCUUUUUGGUGGUUUAAGAUGGUUGUUCAAAUGAAAAAUGUUAUUAACCGACGAUGAUUAAUAGUUGGAAGGAACUUAAUGAUCUGUUUUGGCGGUGAUUAAUUGCAGUUUGUAGUGGCAUAAGAUGAUAUUUUCUAGCCCAGUGUUGUUUGACAGUUUAGAGAGAUUCAGGUAUCUAUAGGCCCCGACUUGCAUACAUUAUAAUUUUUAUUUUUUAAACCACUAGAAACUAAUUAUAAUUUACCAG